UACGAAGGGGGCGAGCGUUGUUCGGAAUUACUGGGCGUAAAGGGCGCGUAGGCGGCCGAUCAAGUCAGAUGUGAAAGUCCUGGGCUUAACCUGGGGACUGCAUUUGAUACUGAUUGGCUUGAAUUCGGGAGAGGAUAGCGGAAUUCCCAGUGUAGAGGUGAAAUUCGUAGAUAUUGGGAAGAACACCGGUGGCGAAGGCGGCUAUCUGGACCGACAUUGACGCUGAUGCGCGAAAGCGUGGGGAGCAAACAGGG
rnacentral:rRNA from 1 species